GGGAUCCGGGGCCGCCCCUCGGCGCGGCAGCGGCUGCGGGGAGCGCUGCGGUCGGUGCCGGUGCCCCCGCGCUCCGUCCUGCCUGCCGCGGUCCCUCGCGUGAAGCGGGACCUGGGCCGGAGGGGAGACCCUGUCAGGCAGCCAUGCGGGAGCUGCCCGGACGAACGCGGCCUCCUGCCAGCACCCAAAGCACCUGCCCGCACCCGAGGCUCCUGCGCGCAGACAUUGCUCGUGGGAGCCGUGUGCUCGUUGUGCCUCAGCUGCUGCUGGCUCCCGCGGGACUGGGUGCGCUCGAGUCCCUCACUUACAGCUCCGAGAACAAAAAAAGCAACUCUCUCCAGACAGGUGGGUGGCAAACAGCGGCUCCAGCCUCAGCUUAGGCCACCGCACACGGGCUGCAUUACCUGGGCUCCGUGUAAGCCCCUGCAGUGUUCUUGCAAGCACGCGAGUUCUGCAACAAACAAGGUGCCGGUGCCCUGCAAGCCCCUCCUGCCUCUGGCCCUUGGACAUCACCCUCAGAAGCCACCCAGCCACGUGGCACCCAGCUGCCUGGAGCAGAAAACCUGAGAGGGUCUGACGGAGUGCUGGAAUGAAUGUCACCUGAUCAUCUGGAGGGGAAACAUCCAUUUUGGUGGUACCAGCUGAGGUAUUCCUUGUCCUGAAUUCGGUUCCAGUCAGAAAAGAGGCCAGGUACACACGUUGGCUCGUUCGGAACCGUAGCGCAGGCGAUGGCAGAGCUGAGCAUCGCUGGGACUCGGACGGAGCAGACGGCAGCCCCGCGGUGAGCGCCAGGCACGGCCCCGGUGCGGCAGCUCACGGGCAGCACGUGGAGAUCGUCACGUUGAUGCCGAGGUUCCCGUUGUCGGCAAAGAGGUGAGCGAUGGCCGUGUCGAACGCCAGGCAGUCGCUGUUGUGGAUGGCGGCUGACACGCCGUCGUGGAUGGAGCGCGGCGUCGCCUCCCACGUCAGCCGCCGGCGGUUGCCGUUCAGCUCCAGCCUGUACACAAAGUUCUCCGCUUGCUUGCGGGUGCCGAUGAGCAGCACGAUGGCAAAGAACUGCUGGUAGCCUUCAUACUUCUCCUGCUUCUCCAGCACCAGCAUGAAGUGGUGACCGAAGCACGACUGCAUCAUAACCCAGUCGACCGCCCCCGGAAGGUUAAUGUCUGUGGCGAGAAAAACGAUGUCCUCUCCCUGGAGGGUGGUGAUGCUUUUGUGGGCGUGCAUGAGGUGGGACAUCACGGCUUCCAGGGAUCCCUGCCAUUUGCAGGAGGCACCGGGGCAGGGGCAGGAGUAGGGCCGAUACUCGCAGAUGUCUUCGUGCUCUGGCUUUUCUGUGUGGUGCAGUGUCAGGGAGCAGCCUGUCGUGGCGUACUGGAAAAAGACCAAACACAAGCCGUCAGGAAAGGCACCAGCACUGGUAUCCACUGCUCCCACCUGCCAACUGGAAGCACUGGGGAUCACCCAGGACUCUUGUUGUCACUGCAAAUUCUAUGUUAGGUAUUUCUGUUCAGCCCUGGACUCAGAGCUGAGCUUUACUGAUUUUUGUUUCCACCUAAAAAUGGAUUCUUCUUGCCUUUUGUGGUUGUUUCCUCCUAAUGCGAGCACUUAGAUAAAAUGGACUGUAAGGCUGAGCUGUAGUUAGAUUGGCGUUGUGGUUAGAUCUGAUUGGUCCAGAUCAGCUGAAGAGGUCCUGGUUGGGAUUUUUCUUCUCUUUAAAAAGAACAGAGGAUCGAGUUUCAGCAAACAGCUACUGGAGUGAAGUAUUUUAAAUAGAUGUUACCUUGUUACCAUCGUGGAGCAAAGCAUUCCCAUUAAACUCAAAUGCAGAUUCCCCACAGCUUUUGUUAAACAUUGGAACAGUUUCAACGCUGCAACUGUGAGAAGUGGAAAGAGAGGAUGAUCUUUUGCUGAUCAUAAUGCCAGCACACCAGUAAGUACCACCUGACUUCUCAGUGGGCACCUUAGAGGGUGAACUUGCUUUAAACAACCGGGGAUGCUUCUCCUUUUCCCACAGGCAGCCCCGUUGCCCACACUGACUGUAUUGCUUUCGUGCCACCUCCACAAAAUGUGUCCCCAUUGUCUCCAAGAGCACAGCUCCUGCAGGUACCUCUGGGUGUCUGUAGCCGUGUCGCUGCCGUGACGCCACCACGCAGUGACAGCACGUGUGUGUGGCUGCCUACGGAUGCUCUGAUGCUUCCUUGAGGACAGGCUGAGCCAAGAUGUACCUUGUUAUUUCUGGGCUAAUGUGUGCAAGAAGUUUCAGCUCAAAGGAUUAAAUGCCCAAGACGCCAAUCACCCAGCACUAGGAACACUGGGACAGAAACCUGACUUUUUGCCUCUGGAGAAGCUUGUUUUAUAAGCCACGAGGAGUUAAGGAGGUACCAGUCAGCUCAGAGCUCAUCACCACAUGCAUGACUUAGCACGCCAUAUUUUUGCCACGGAUGUCACUCUGUGUGUGCUGCUCUGCACUUCACUUUGACAGGAUAGCUGUCUGAGGGCCCCAGAGCAUCCAGAAAACAUCAGUGAAGCUUGAAAGUGCUCAGCAGAGGCAGACCAGCAUUAUCAACCCUGUAAACGACAGCAGGCAGGGACACAGGAUUAAGGGCCAGAACCACCUGGGGACUCAGGAAUGUGACAGUGUCUCCGGUUAGAGAUGGCUGUGUCCAAGGAUCUUGGAAGACUUUCUUCAUGCCAAGUGUCUGUCCUGGCUUCCAAGAUGCUGACAUCACCACUCCUAGGGAGGCUGCUCAUGUCAGGUUCCCUUAACGUGAUGAAGACCAGAGGUGGGUCAGGCUGGAGUGAGCAGAUCCCGCCGAAUGCCCCGGCACUGCUGUGGCACCGGCAGCUGCUGAGGGCUCGAUGGGCCUCUCCCCAUGGGCACCUGCGACCUACAUAACACCAGCUGAGGAUUGGAGCCCUGACAGUGUGUUCCUGUUUCUCGGCCCAAGUAGUAACAGUGAAAAGCAUUAAUGUGUGCUAAUUUCACUGUGCAGCUCUUGGGAACAGUGAAAGCAGUGGAGCAGGACUUGCUCAUGGCAGAGAAAAUCCACAUAAAGAGAGGCUGUGCGAGGGAAGAGGAACCUCUGUGAAGAGCUUCUGUGUGCCUGAGGAGCAGAGCAGUCACCACACACUGCUGCACGGGUCACGCCACAGCGCUGCCUGGCACCUGAGCUCCGGGCGCUGAUGCAGUGGGUGCCGACUCACCAACCCCCGGUGCACCCACGGCAGCGAGGCACAGGGGAACAGCACAUCCCACCAGCUGCUCUCGCAACUGCUGCCAGCCCUGCUGCCCCGGCCAUCCCCUCCUGCCCCAUCUCGCCAGGCAGCUGGGAGGUGCCACACACCCGCCGCUUUUGUUUCACUUCCCAGCUGUGAGCUGGCUUGCAGGUGCUUUACCAAGAAAUGAAACCAAGCCCUGAGCUGGCACAAGCCCUGUCCACAGCCUUCUGCCUGCCUGAGGCAGCCUCUGACAGGCUAGCAUGUACCCACACCUUGGGUUACUGCAGAGACUACCAAAACAUCGCCUGGUUGGAGCCAAAACUCUCACAGUGCCAUCCAUCACCAAGACACUGAGCCGCCUGAUGCCCAGCACUUGCUUCAGCUCCUGCAAACCUCUCUCUCCAAGUCACUGCCUUGAAGAGCACAACAUCAACCAUGAGAGUAAUACCUGGAGGAAAAAAAACACUACUGUUUUCUUAACUGCUUGACGUGCUGGAGAAGCAUUCACAGCUGAUAACACCUGAACCAGACCUGCCUAGCAGAUGCACGAUCACUAUUCACUUCUCCUGGCAUAUCUCCUUUGCCAGGAGAUAUUCUUAGAUAUCCUUCCCUCCCUUGGUGCUUACUCCUCUAUGGCGAAAGCAAACCUCAAGGGGUAUCAAUUAAGGCCUUAAGAAACCUUUUGGUUAUGAAAUGAGUAAAGAAGCAUCUGAUAAGUAAAGUUAGGAAUAUCUUAUCUUCUCUUUAUGAGUCUGUAAGCUUUUUCUUCCCUCUCUCAUGUUUAGUUUACCUGCAACACGUGGGGAUGAACAAGCAUGAGUCCCAUCUGGCAGUCGGGCUGCUGGACAGGCUGCUACACUGCGAGCAGCAGAGCUGCCCCCAGGUGCAGGGAAGGGCUGCAAGGACGCUGGUACAGGCAGCCACUCCAGCCUGGAUACAUCUGUUUUGUUUAAGAUGCAGAGGGAGCACCAGCUGUCACAGAUGAGACCAACAAGGCUCUCCAGAAAAUGAGAAGCAGGCCAGCGUUCGGUGUGCAGCGCACUGUCUGUAUUCCCCUGGGCUCAGAGCGGCUCACGGCCUCACUGCACUUGUUGCUGUGCUCAGCAGAGGACCCCUGUCCAACCACAGCGCUCUGCCUGCCAUUGCCACUGCGAGGGUAACUCCUGUUCAAGUGUGAAUGGUGACACAGUCCCAUAGCAGCAAAAGCUCUGCGAGCGUCCCAACGCAGCAACCCAGCCAGUGCCACGGCACACGGGCCCUGGCCAGCACCACGCUCUGCUGCAGAGGAGCCCUCACUUGCUCCCUGUGCACGCUGAGGAUGCUCCUCGGGCUCCUGGGAAAGCUGCCGCUGGGCACUGGCCCUCCCAGGCAGAGCUGCUCCUUGAGCUCUCACUGGAAAGCUUGCCCGGCAGUGCCACUGCCAGCCCAACCACAGCUCUCCACCUCCCAAGGACACCUCACGUGCCACACCAGUGACGGCUCCAGCAGCUCCUGUACCUGUCCCUCCAUCACUUCAGCCCGUGGUUUUAAAGUGCUUUUGAUAUUAUGGAGGGGAAGAGCACGGCCGAGGCCACCUUCUCCAUGGCCAGAUUCCUGAUGCUGGGGGUGAGGGAGCCCCGGCAAGUGGGGCAGAGGCUCAGCUUCUGCCGGCAUUGAUUGCAGACCAGGUGCCCGGACUGACACUGCAGGAUGGGCGGCAGCACAUAGUCGAAGCAGACCGGGCACUCGAAGAGCGAGAAGCCCCAGCCUACCUCCCCGACUCCACGGCACGUCAGGUCAGCUCCCUGCACCACCGAGCUCCCGCUGCUGCUGGGACCCUGCCUGGCUCCUCCUGCCAGGUGUGUCACAGCCACCAAAUAACCCAUCGCGGGAGAGAGGCUGACUUGGGGCAUCGUCAAGGCCAUCCACAUCCGUCUGCUGACUGCCAGUGAUUUUGGCAGGCACUGGGUUUCAUUUAUUUUCCUAAUCUGAUCAGCUUAGAAAUAGUUUGUUAACUGGAUGCAUAUACAUUGCAGGAAUACUGCUCAGGUGGUUCAAGAGUAUCAUAUGAGUUAGGCUUAAAGACUGAGUCUGGUUUAACUACGUAGGUUUUAAGACAACCUUGGAAUGGAAAGGAAACAAGGCUGCAUACAGACAAAUGAUUUACUUUUGUUUUUUAAAGCUAAUGCUUAAACAGAGCUGUGACUCGUGCUGUGAUCAUCAUGUGUGACCAAGAGAUGGCACACGGCUGUAUCGCUGGGGUUCAACACCACUCAGCUCGCUCUGCACACCCUGCUGAAUACACACAGCUUUUGGAAAAUGCCUGUUUUUAAAGGUGGCUUUGAAUAUUUGACUUGAGCAGAAUGCUCAUUGUUCCCUGAAAAGAGACUGUAAUAUUUUAUGUAUGAUUAUCACCAGCACAAGAGCAGUGCAACCCGAGCCUGUAAAAGUGACUGUGUCCCAGGAAGAAUUUGGUGGGAUAAAAAAAUGUUAACAGCAUGUGUCUGGGUAAAGGAAAGACUAUUGUUGAUGUUGUUUAGCUUAAGAAACAAAAUAAAUAGGGUGAGCCUACGCUCUCAGACAAACCUGGCCGUUUGGCCACUGGGCAAUACGGGCUCUUGUCUCUACACCACACGCGUACGGUGGCACGACGGCUGUCACGGGGGCUCUUCUGCCCCGGCCGUUACCUCACAGAAUGCUCAGUACUCUUCCUCCCUGUGUUAACUGCUCCUGAGUAGCUGUUCCUGAAAAGGGCUGAUUUUAAACUGUCAUUGAUGCACUUUCUGCUCAAAUUUUCUCUCACCUGCUAAGUUUUAAAAGAAACCCUAAAUUUAAAGAAUUAGACUAUUAUAGUUCCCAACCCAAACUGGAGUGUUGUACCAUGAUUGACUCAUUAAUGUCACUUUUCAUGGUAUGUGCCACCUGAUGCCAUGUGAGUGCUGCCAGCAGUGAUGCACACAAUGCUGCCAUCCCUCAGCUCCUUCUCUGAGGAGCAGCACCACAAAACAUCCCUUCACUGGCUCUGCAUUUAGCAGCCUGUGCAGGUCAGCAGUGUAAAGGUGAACCACCACUCUGAAAAAUGCACUGAAUGAAAUGGUUUUGAUGAGCACAAAUGCCCAGUAAGUGAGAAGUGGAAAAGAACCACUUCAUUUUUAAUCCCACAGAUACCUAAAGCCCAGUUUACAAUACUCAAGGGUGAACAUGCAAUGUGAGGUAUAGAUAGAUGUUCUGGUUUAGCAAGGAGCAGCUUUUGGCUUAGU